CCAGAAAAAUUAAUUAGAUAAUUUAUCAAGUGUGAAAACAUCAGAAUAUUCUGUACAAUUGAUCAAGGACUUUAAAAUAAUUCUAUUAUAACAAAACAUUCCUUCAGGCAAAAUAAUUAAGUCUGAAAUUCACCAGGACAGAUUUACACGUUUAAAACUAGUGUAAAGUAAGGACUACAAUUCUAGCUAUAAUGCAAAUAUCACAUUUCCCCAGAGUUUAAAACAACUCGCUUAAAGCUGUUCAAUUAUUUUAGCAGCACACUUUUAAAAGAGAAACGAAACUUGAACAAGUCUCAUUAAAAGUAGCACUCAA
rnacentral:lncRNA from 1 species